UUAAAUGACUUAUUUGACCAUCUCUGUCUUUUUCUUUUUUUCUUUUUUUUUUUCCCUUUCUUUUCUACCUUUUUUUGUUUUUGCUACUCUUAUUUUACUUUUUUCUUUUUUUACCUGUCCACAUCUGAUAACAAUAAAAUAUAUCCACUAAAGGAUUAAAAAGAAAGAAUUUUUAUUGUUAAAACGACAAAGUAUUAAUUUCCUCCUAAAUUUG
rnacentral:lncRNA from 1 species